GACAGCAGUAGCCGCGGGAAUACGGAGGGUGCAAGCGUUAAUCGGAAUUACUGGGCGUAAAGCGCACGCAGGCGGUUUGUUAAGUCAGAUGUGAAAUCCCCGAGCUUAACUUGGGAACUGCAUUUGAAACUGGCAAGCUAGAGUCUUGUAGAGGGGGGUAGAAUUCCAGGUGUAGCGGUGAAAUGCGUAGGGAUCUGGAGGAAUACCGGUGGCGAAGGCGGCCCCCUGGACAAAGACUGACGCUCAGGUGCGAAAGCGUGGGGAGCAAACAGGAUUAGAUACCCGGGUAGUCCCUGUCUCUUAUAC
rnacentral:rRNA from 1 species